UUCUGUGUAAAUGCAAAGCCACCUGUGGGAUUGCAACUCUGCGGUUGGCUGUGGACCUGAGAGGCCUCCCCGCUCUUCUGACUCCCUGAUUGGACGACUCCCCUCCAGACAAGCCAACCCAUGGAACACCUGCCCUUUAUAAGGAAGGAAGCACCAACAUUUGGGGCAGCUGGUCAUUAGACCCUCAGCUUGCCAUCUGGGAUUGUUAGUGGAGCGUUGGUUGGUUGUUUGUUUAUUCACUGAUGUGGACU